rnacentral:rRNA from 1 species
ACGGGUGAGUAAUGUAUCGGAACGUGCCUAGUAGCGGGGGAUAACUACGCGAAAGCGUAGCUAAUACCGCAUACGCCCUACGGGGGAAAGCAGGGGAUCGCAAGACCUUGCACUAUUAGAGCGGCCGAUAUCGGAUUAGCUAGUUGGUGGGGUAACGGCUCACCAAGGCGACGAUCCGUAGCUGGUUUGAGAGGACGACCAGCCACACUGGGACUGAGACACGGCCCAGACUCCUACGGGAGGCAGCAGUGGGGAAUUUUGGACAAUGGGGGAAACCCUGAUCCAGCCAUCCCGCGUGUGCGAUGAAGGCCUUCGGGUUGUAAAGCACUUUUGGCAGGAAAGAAACGUCAUGGGCUAAUACCCCGUGAAACUGACGGUACCUGCAGAAUAAGCACCGGCUAACUACGUGCCAGCAGCCGCGGUAAUACGUAGGGUGCAAGCGUUAAUCGGAAUUACUGGGCGUAAAGCGUGCGCAGGCGGUUCGGAAAGAAAGAUGUGAAAUCCCAGAGCUUAACUUUGGAACUGCAUUUUUAACUACCGAGCUAGAGUGUGUCAGAGGGAGGUGGAAUUCCGCGUGUAGCAGU